AGGCAGAGAUAUAGGCAGAAGGGGAAGCAGGCUCCCUUUGGGGAGCCCAAUGUGGGACUUGAUCACAGAACUCUGGGAUCACACCCUGAGCCCAAGGCAGAUGCCCAACCACUGGGCCACCCAGCAUCCCUCUGGGUUUCCUUUGGGGCAUUUAGUUUUGAAUCAAGUUCACAUGUUUAGGGAGCCUAACAGUGAAUUCUGUACUGUGGUGUGGUAAAUAUCACUGAGUUCCAUUGUAAAAGAUAUUUUGAUGAUUAUUCAUGUCUUUUGAGUUGUUAACUGAAUAACAUCUUGAUUGCUUGCAUCAUGUUAAAAUGUACUUGUUGUCAUAGCAAUGAAACAAUUUAGUGGAAUACAAGCAAUAUUUCCUGACACUGUUAGAAAUUCGGGAAGAGUUAUGAAAGGAUUGACUUCACACCAGUUGAAGUUUAUCAGAUUAAAGAAUUGUGAGCUAUAUGUAAACAGGAUAUGCUUAUAGUUCUAUUUCUUAGUAUUCUAAGCCUCAUCCCAAUAUAUCUUUUCCUGUAUCAUAAAGGAAGCAUGAACAAGUGGUUUGAAUACUUACCACAUUCAUACCUGUAAAGAUUUUAUCUACAACAGAUGCAUUUGGAAUUAUUUUUCUUUCAUUCUUAUAAAUAGAAAUCAUUAUUUCUGGAAGAUUUAAAUGGUUGCUGAUUUAAAUGGAUGCUACAAUUAAGUACAAUCCAUUACAGAAAAGGAAGGGAAUAUGAACCUAUGAACCAAAGAAAACUCAAAUAGUUUUUGUUUUAUUCUACAUACUGAAUGCAAACAACAAAACUUAAAACCCAACAACCCAGAGAUUUUUUUUUUUAAAGGGAAAUUCCUCUUAGGUGUUAUGGUAAUUGCUUUAGGGAAUAUUUGAGAAUAUUUUGAUAUUGGAAUCUGAUGAGAUUCACUUUCACAUAGAUACUCUUUGGAUUGUUACUUGACAUUUAUAAGAAUUUGAAUGUUGGUAGUUAUACGAUCUGGGGCAGAUCAACCUGGUUCAACUUCAUUUUAUUUUUUAAAAAUUUAAAGAUUUUAUUUAUUUGACAGAUUAGGAGAGAGCACGAGAAGUGGGGAGGGGCAGAGGGAGAGAGAAGUAGACUCUGCUGAGCAGGGAGUAGGGCUUCAUCUCAGGAUGAUGAGACCACGACCUGAACAGAAGGCAGAUGCUUAACCAGCUGAGCCACACAGGUGUCCCUUAGUUUUAUGUUGUACAUGGUGUGGAGGAAUUGAGGCAAAGGAUUAUCUUGGGUCCUCUCCUGCUAUGCCAUUCUAGGAGUUCUAAAUUAAAUUAAGUGGCUAUAUAUAGCCCUCUAGUGGUUUUGCUAUAUGCUUACACUGUUAACUUUGUACAUGUAGCAUUUCUCUGAAGUUACUGAGUUUGAAAAAAUAGCUAUUGAGAAGAAUCAGAUUUUAGUAAUAUUACAUGACCUAAAUAAUGGAGGGGAAAAGAUGGUAGAGAUAUUUUAUUAUAAUAAUUUUCAUGCUAUAUUAUAACCCAUUUCUGUAACCUACUUUUUGGGUUAUUAUAAUAUGGUCCAGAAUAUUAGAAUUGCCCUGCACCUUACAAGAUGAAUGAUUGCAUCCAGAUUCUUUGCUGAUAAAUGCUGUGAUUGUUAUCUGAUAAUUGUGCAUAUCAAAGCAUAGGGUAAAUUAAGUAAGGUACUUAGACUAUGAAGUAGAUCAUACAUAUCCAUGCUAUGAAAUACAAACUACUAAUAAGUUAGACUUAAAUUUAUUGACCUGGAAUUUAUGAUAGGACUUUGAGGAAGAAAAGUUACAGAAUGAUUUUAUAUGCAUAUCUCCCCAUUUUUGCUUAAAAGAAAAAAAAAAAAAAACGAGAGAAACUUCAAAUCCUAGUAUGAAUAUGUGUUUGUAUAAGCAAAGAAAAACAGAAGAUCUAAGCCAAAAAAUAUAACUACCUUUAGGGCAGUGAGAUUUGGAAAGAUAGAAAGAUUACUUUUUUAUUUAUGUCUGAUUAUUCAAAUUGUUAAGGAAAAAGAAACAAAUGAAAAAAAUUGAAAGGCUCAACAGAAAGGAAACUUAAUCUGAAAAGUUUUAGGUGACCAAGUUUGGUUUUUAAUUUCAGAACUGAUUUCCAGCAACAAUGAGUUAAGUCAACUCCUGCUGAUUUUGAGUUUGUUUAUUGUUUUAAUGUUUAAUAAUCUCCUUAGAUACAAGACUGAUGCCCAAAGUGUUUAAAAUGUGUGGUGCUUGGUAUUUCUCUUUAUUUUGCUAAUAAGCUUUUUCCUUGUUCUGGGAUUUAAAAUCCUUUCUUCUCCAGCCCAAUUAAAUUUGUUAAGAGGGCGUCUAUGAAAAGGCCCUUCUUUGAGGUCUUUGAGUGGAACUGAUUGGUUCUGAAAAUUCUUCCUUCAUUGGUUCUUAAAACAUUUCAUAAUUAUUGAAGGCUCAUUAUGAAGGCUGUCUCAAUUUCUUCCUCCAAAAUGCUAAGGAAUAAUUUAGACAACAGUACAGACUCUAAAAAUGAAGAUGGCUCCGUCUUUUCACAGACUGAACACAAUAUUGUUGCAGCUUACUUGAUCACAGCAGGUAUAAUAAGUAUCUUCAGCAACCUAAUAGUUCUGGGCAUCUUCAUUAAGUAUAAGGAACUUCGGACACCCACAAACGCAAUUAUCAUUAACCUGGCUGUUACUGAUAUAGGAGUCAGUAGCAUUGGAUAUCCCAUGUCGGCAGCUUCAGAUCUGUAUGGAAGUUGGAAAUUUGGAUAUGCAGGAUGCCAGAUUUAUGCCGGAUUGAAUAUCUUUUUUGGAAUGGCAAGUAUUGGAUUACUCACUGUUGUGGCCAUGGAUCGAUACCUGACCAUCUGUAGUCCUGACACAGGAAGAAGAAUGACCACCAACACUUACAUCAGCAUGAUUCUGGGGGCCUGGCUCAAUGGUCUCUUUUGGGCUUUGAUGCCUAUUAUAGGGUGGGCUAGUUAUGCCCCGGAUCCUACUGGGGCUACUUGUACCAUAAACUGGCGGAAAAAUGAUGCAUUUUUUGUUUCUUUCACGAUGACAGUUAUUGCAGUAAAUUUUAUUGUGCCCUUGACAGUGAUGUUUUACUGCUAUUACCAUGUCACUCGAUCCAUUAAAUGCCAUACUACUAGUAACUGCACUGAGUAUCUCAACAGAGAUUGGUCAGACCAGGUAGAUGUAACAAAGAUGUCCGUGAUAAUGAUAUUUAUGUUUCUGGUGGCCUGGUCCCCUUAUUCCAUUGUGUGCUUAUGGGCUUCUUUCGGUGACCCAAAGAAGAUUCCUCCCUCAAUGGCCAUCAUAGCUCCACUAUUUGCAAAAUCUUCUACAUUCUACAAUCCCUGUAUUUACGUGGUUGCUAAUAAAAAUGAAGCCUAGAUUACUUUAUUUCCUGUUACUGCUGAAAGAUGGAAUAACCAAUUUAUUGGCCUUAAAUAUUUGAUCAGAAAAAUCUCAGUAGAGGCCAGAUUUCGGAAGGCAAUAUUUGCCAUGUUCAAAUGUCAGACUCAUCAAGCAAUGCCCGGGACGAGUAUUUUACCAAUGGAUGUAUCUCAAAACCCACUGGCUUCUGGAAGAAACUGAAAUAAGAGAAAAGUACAUAGUAUUAAAAUAUUUUGUUGCUUCUCCCCCAUGGUUUAGUUUUAUUUUAAAUAUGAUCUGUUUAGAUCAGAGGUAGACAUAGAUUAUUGUCUUAUUACACCCUCAAUUCCUCAAGUGUAGCUUCUAGUUCUUCUAUUUGUGGGAUGGCUACUGUAGUGAGUGUUUAUUUCCUUUAUAUGAGCUUAACUAUUCAUUUCCUUUGAUGCACAGGCACUUGAGACCCAUUCUCUUUCUCCCAAACAUGGCAUUCAAUGACCUGGUAACUGGUGUGAGCCCUCCACUAGACUAGAAGUAGCCACUAUUUUAAUGUUAAAAUAAAUUAAUAAUAAUAAUAGUCUUCAAUAAGUAAAUUACUGAAAUGAGUUGUUGGAUAUUCCUAGCUAGAUGGAAAACAUUUUUAGCAUUUCACACUUUUAAAAUUGCAAUUAUUAACCUCUACUAUUUAACAAAAAUAAUUGAACGACUAUUAAACACAUUGCUUCUAAAUCACAUUAGUUGAUGCACAUGUGUACAUUACAUAGCAAUAUAAUCUCUGCAUAUUAUGUAUUCUGCAUUUUUAAUUAACAUUUUUCUGUAUAUGUAUUUCCAUAUGUUUGCCACUAGAAUUAAUCAGGGAGGUUUGUGUAUUUGUUCUCUUUUUCCUAUUUUGUUUGUCUGAAAUUUAUUUUUAUUGUGGCAAGAACACAACAUGUGAUCUACUCUCUUAACCAGUUUUUGUGUACAAUACAGUUUUGGUAACUAUAAGUACAGUAGUAUAUAGCAGAUCUGUAGAACUUAUCUUGUUUAACUGAAACUUUAUGUAUAUUGAUAGCUGGAUGCUUGUUCUUUGAUGUAUCUUUAGCAGGUAGAUGCAUUUUGCCUGGCACGUAAUAGUCACUCAAUAAAAAAAAAAAUUGUU